CUCAGAAGAGGCAGAAAAACCGGUUUCGUAAGAACCACGGAAAGGAAUAGAGACCCCUCCUCCUUACAUUCCAAUCUACCGCCUUUAGGAAGGCUAACUGCCCCUAAGGAGUUAAGUUCAAAUGGAUACAUGCUCCCAGUCUCACCCGAGAAGCUGAAAUCAGAGCGAAAAGUCAGGCAGGCCGUCUCAGGUCUGGUUGUGCCUAAGAUAUGCUCAUGCUUCUUAAGAGGACAGAAGGACCCCCACCAGGACGCCGAUGACGCACUCCAGAUUCAGCACCUACAAAGGUGCCGUGAAGCCCUUCUGCAAAGGUGUCAGAAGUGAUUCCUGUACCUUCAAAGCACCAACUACUGACCAAGAGUCUCCUCAGAGGAAGGAAUCAGAUCAUCUUGUUCCAGACUAUUUAAUCAGCAGGGAGAUCAACAGGCCAAAUUUCCGCCAUAAACACAAACUUUAAUGUGGAUGAAUGGAUUACAACACUUUCAAGCCUUGCAAUGAGAGGCUAUAUUGAAGAGAAUAACCUAUCUACUAGUGGUCAGCACCUGUGUCUUUGUG